rnacentral:lncRNA from 1 species
UGUGUGUGUGUGUGUAUGUAUGUAUGUAUAUGUAUAUGUAUAAUUUGGGGAGGACUUUCAGAGAAACAUAAUUAAGAGGGAAGCUAUCAUGAAAUGACUCUCAAUAUUACUUGUGUUUUAAGAGAGCCCUGUCUUUAACAAUUUUAGCUUUGUUGACUACUUUGGAAUGCCAGUUAUCACUUACUGGCCAUGCUGUAUAUUAGGUAAUCUUAUUUUAAUUGAAGUAUUUUAUAUGUAUAAGAUAUUUUAUAUGACCACAUGCCUGCGUGUUCACCAUGUGCAUGUAUUUCCUCUAGAGAACAGAAGAGAGCUUCGGGUCCACUGGAACUGGAGCCAUAUACAGUUGUGAGGCACCAUAUGGGUGCGGCAAAUCAACCAGAGGCACUUGGAAAAGCAGCCAGCACUCUUAACUACUGAGCCAUCUCUCCACUCAUAUUAUAAUCUUUAACCCAUAAUUAUAGUAUCUUCUUCAAAAUAUAGCAAGAGUUGUGCUUGGAUAUCACUUUGUUCAUACAGUAUUUAUAGUCUGUACCAUUCCAUACAAAGUAUCCUGGCUUUCUUAAGCCUAAGAGAAGCAAUCAUUGCAACAGGAAAGGAUUUGGGAUAACAAGUUGUUUGUUGACCUUUUCUUUCUCUGGCAGAUGUAGAUUUUUAGAUUUCAGCCAGAGCUAAAGGAGAGUAAGGAAAGGUAGAUGUUUAAGAUAUAGUGGAAUAGUGGAAAAAGAAAAUACUCCUUUGUAUUUUCAGCAAAGUGGACUUAAGUAAACCAAAAAAGCAGAGAAAGCCCUGUCCCCAAACCAAAUAAAACUCUAGCUCCCUCACCUUUGCUAAACUCAGUCCACAUGCUUCUUGUUCAUCCAGUAUCCUCAUAUUCUUGCUAUAGUCCAUAUAUACAUUCUCCUACAAGGUUCUUUUCCCUUCUCUUCCUCGUUCCUUCAUUCAGUACUGGAUGCCAAACCCAGGCCCUUUGAUAUAGUAGUAAAUAUUCUUACCUUUGAGCUAUAGCUUGAUCCUUUCUGUUAACUAACUAGCUGAUCAAGGAUAGGAAAACAAGAGGAUUAAUGUCUAGUACCUACAAUAAGCUUUAUACAUUUAAAUAUAAGUGAAUGUCAUUAACCUCCUCUCAUUUUUAAUUUAGCUUUCUUUCGUUUACAUGUUGUUUACUUAUAUUGUUCAUUUAUACUCAGGGUGCAGCUCGAGCUAUUUAUCAUAUUCGAAGCAUUUCAUACUGCAGAUGUGCUGUUACUAUCAGUGCGUCAGUCAAUCAUAGCAUCUCAAAGAGUGGCACUUUUGCAAGCCAGACAGAGAAGUCCCCACAACUGUCUGUCUCCCAGACACUCCCCACCUGUCUUCUCUCCUUAUCAGCAAGAUAAGCAAGUGGCUCAUAUUCCCCAUACAAAUAAUUCAGGAGCUUAUCUGUGUAAAUGGUAAUGGCAUAGCAUUCACAAUUCUUGCAGUUUUGAUAGUGUAACAUAAUAGGAUGUGAGACACCCCCAAAGUGCAUCCCAGACAGCCUUAUUGUUAAAAGUGUUAAAUUACUCCAGCUUCCUAGUCACAGAAAUAUUGUACUUGGUACCAUUCACUCCUGAUUGUUCUUUGUGUUUUUCUCAGCUGCCUACCUCUAGGAAGCAAACACAUUACUUUGAGUCUGCCUAUCUGGUACAUAAGUCAGCUUGAAUACAAACCCUUAGCCUCUGAAUUCAAUGAUUUUUGGAGUUCUUUUUAUUCCCACUUCCUAUUGAUUCACUUCUUCC